AUACUUCACAGCUGCAACAUUUGUAGGAUAUUGCUGGUACUUUGGCGACUGAAGCAGCGGAAGACUCUGCUCAAGUAGCUAAGCUAAGUUCAACUCUUGAAUAUUGUUGAUCACAAGAGAAGAAAGAUUUUACAACAAAUGAAAAACGACGCGGAG